AGCAGACUGAAAUCUAGUUACGUUUGUCAAAAAUCCCUACGUGAAAUCAUAUCACGCGGUCGCUCUGGGCGUCUGUCGUUCAGGGUGGCUCAAGCGUAUUGAGGCGGGAAUUUCUGACAAGCUUAUCCAGCUCGUUGGUUCGGUUUUGUUGAAAAACCCCAGUGCGAUAGAGGACGGCGUGGCAAAAUUACACCCCCGGAAACGGUGACAUAGAUGGCUCAGGGCGACAGCCUCAGCUCCGUACUUAAUUUCAUUCCUCCUAAACGAUUUCCCAAGCAGUAAAAUCGCGAAUGCUCUCAAAGAAAGGCCGUCACCCCUCGUUCUGAAUACGACAAAGCAUUGGGCUUAUAUUCUUCUUGCCAUAACCGCUAUGUGUAUUUGCUAGCGGAUACACUAUUUAUUGAUGACCUCUAAUGUCAGCUAUCUGGAACGAACGGCCGCAAUUCCUUGAUACCGGUACUGUACUGGACAAAAGAUUGUGGAAGCCAUCUAGCAGGAGUUUGUACGCUCUCGA